UACGAAGGGGGCUAGCGUUGUUCGGAAUCACUGGGCGUAAAGGGCGCGUAGGCGGCCGAUCAAGUCGGGGGUGAAAGCCUGUGGCUCAACCACAGAAUUGCCUUCGGUACUGUUUGGCUUGAGACCGGAAGAGGUUAGUGGAACUGCGAGUGUAGAGGUGAAAUUCGUAGAUAUUCGCAAGAACACCAGUGGCGAAGGCGGCUGACUGGUCCGGUUCUGACGCUGAGGCGCGAAAGCGUGGGGAGCAAACAGG
rnacentral:rRNA from 1 species